UGGCCAUCCGUGUGUCUUUGGAGAAAUGUCUAUUUCAGUCUUCUGCCCAUUUUUCAGUUGGGUUGCUUGUGUUUUUGUUGUUGAGUUGUAAGAGUUGUUUGUAUAUUUUGGAGAUCAGGCCCUUUUCUGUUGCAAGUUCUAUUUUAGAUUUUCAAGGAAAUAAUUUCUUCUAUAACAAUAUCUCUAAGAGAUAGGGACAUGUUUUAAAAAUACAUAAUCACGAUACCUUUAUCCCUCCUAAAAUGAUUAACAGAAAGUUCUUACUAUGAUCUGCUUAUAGUCAGUGGAGAGCUGGGCUUUACAGAGAGGAGAUUUUAGUAGGUGGUGGUGGGAGGCAGGGGCUUCAGGUGUAAAAGCAGGGAAGUGUGGGUAAGUGACAGGUGGUGCAUGUCGGGCUAAGGGCUGCGGCGUGCAAGGGGAAGGAAAUGGCAGGUGUGAGUCCUGGUGGAGGAGACGUCAGUGGAUUUGUCCAGUUCCAGACCGCACGUGGGCUCCCCUCUCUUCCUGGUUGACAGUGCUUGCUUGAGUGGUCGUUUCGAGCUGGGUAGAACAGGGUGGCGAGCUGAGUCCUGCCCUCGGCCGUGUCUGUAAAUAAAGGUGUGGGGCUCACAGAAGUCACAGCCAUUCGCACACACGUUGCAGGCUGCCUGCGCUCGCCCUGCAAAGGCAGGAUUGAGUGGUUGCAACAGACACCCUAUGCCCUGCAACGCCCCCACUAUUUACUGUCUGGCCCUUUAUAGAAGAAGCCUGCUGCCCUCUGAUCUGGAAGAUACCGGGCCGAGUUUAGCGCAGUGAGGAGGCUGUGUGGAAUGUACCGGUGAGGAGCAGCCAUGGGGGCAGAGGCUGGGAUUUGUUUUGCUCUGUCUCCACCGUUCACCCUGUAGCCUGAGAAAGGCCUGGAUUAGAGCCGGUGCACUUCGCGGGCACUCAGUAGGCGAUUGCUGAAGAAGACCCGGAAGUCGUGGUGUAACAGUGUGGGAGGCAGCUGGGCCGGAAGGAUGCUCGUUCCCCUUUACGAGCCCACAUUCGACCUGUAGCCUGAAGUCGUGUGACUGUCGUGUGGCUGAGUGGCACGUUGAAGAUGAAAGAUUUGACAGUGGCUGAGGACAGAGGCGGGACUUCGGUAUGUGGAGUGAGUGCGGAAGUGGGACACUCUCUCCUCUAAGACAAGAAUACACUGGGCAGAGGUGUCAAAAAACAACCACUGCAGGACUCAGGAAGUACAACAGCUGCCAGCGUCAAAUUGAGAAGCGUUUUGCCUCGAGCUGUGGUGUGGGUCCCACAUGCAGCUUGGAUCUGGUGUGGCUGUGGCUGUGGCCAGCAGCUGCAGCUCCGAGGUGACCCCUAGCCUGGGAAUUUCCAGAUGCCGCAGGUAAGGCCAUAAAAACUGCUACUGCCACCGCCACCACUACCACUACUACUAAAUUGAGAAGCAUCUGGAGUUCCUGUCGUGGCGCAGUGGUUGACGAAUCCGACUAGGAACCAUAAGAUUUCGGGUUCGGUCCCUGCCCUUGCUCAGUGGGUUAACGAUCCGGCAUUGCUGUGAGCUGUGGUGUAGGUUGCAGACGCGGCUCGGAUCCCGCGUUGCUGUGGCUCUGGUGUAGGCCUGUGGCUACAGCUCCAAUUAGACCCCUAGCCUGGGAAUCUCCAUAUGCCGCGAGAGCGGCCGAAGAAAUAGCAAAAAGACAAAAAAAAAAAAAAAAAAAAGCAUUUAAUCAGAAGGAACGGCUGAACUUCAUUCAGAUAAGGACAGUGGGGUGUUUGUUUCUUUAAUUUUAGUGAAGUAUAGUGGACUUACAAUAGCGUGUUCAUUUCUGCCACACAGCAAAGGGACCCAGUUAUACACAUGUAUAUUCUUUCUCACGUUUUCCUCUGUUAUGGUUUGUGGGAGGGGAUUGCGUCUCGUUGGUUCCCACGCCACGCAGUGGGACCUGUUGUUCUCCAUCCAGUAUUUAACAGCUGACCCCAAACUCCCUCCUUCCCUGUCCACCCCCCGCAGGGGGAGUUUCUCAUGUUCUUGGCUGGGGACUACCCCCUGCCACCUCUAACCCCCCAUCAGUGUAGUAGUUCCGUCAUCGUUGGGGGGGGGGGUGGCAGACCAUAGAGCUGGCUGCGGGGCGGGCGGGGGGCGGCAGCACUUGAUUUGGAGCCGAAGGUGAAAAGCCCCGCCCACUGGCAUCGUCAGUACCAGUUGGAUCUCAGCAGCAAGUGAACAGGCAGCUCUGGCAGCCUAAAUAGCUGCCCCACUGGGGUCAGACAGUAGACUGGUCAGACAUGUAGCAGAGGCCCUGGAAAUGAUGCAGCCACAGAAAGACUUGGAAAGCUCUCCACACUCGCCUGACCAACUUGCAGACAAGAGCAGAGGCGUCCCAAGCUCCCUGCACAGCCCAGGUGGCCGGGGACGCUGAAACAGCAUAGGGAACAUGCAGAAGGGCCCAGCGGAAAGUCACAGUUGGGGGGAGCCCUGAACUGGGUGUUCUUAACCCCACACAGAUCACCGAGCAGAGAUUGGAGCCUAGUUGGCUCCAGGGGUGUGAGCAGGACCUUUAACCAAUCACUGGCGGAUCACUAAACCCUGCAGGUGCAGGGGCAACCCCCAAGGAGUCAGGUCUGAAAAUGAAACAAGAAUUAAAAGAAAAAGCACCUGAGCAGAAACAUCAUGGCUGCACAACAUGGAGGGACAGAUCCAGCAGAUUCAGUCCAGGAGGCUCACCGACAAUACAAGCUGUAAAAUAUGAAUAAUAGGAUCCGUUUGGUUAGAGAGAGAAGAGGGGGGCAGAGAGGGAGGGAGGGAGGGAAGUACCGAAGGGUAUGCUGAAGGUUGGUGGACACACAUUUUUUCUUGGAUUUUUAACAGUGAUUCUCCUCAGAGACUUAUCGGGAUGUUUCUUUCACUUUGCUACAUAUUUCCAAAACAAGUCAGUUAUUUUUCUAUAGUGUAUCAUAAUACUUUGUAAACACACACACACAGACGUUUUAUGAUUUUUUUUUCCCCAAUCAUAGUUGAUUUACUGUGUUCCGCCCGUUCCUCCUGUCCAGCGAAGUGAGCCAGGCACACAUAAUACAGAUUCCUUCCCCACACCAUCCUCCGUCGUGUUCCACCGCACGUGACCAGAUAGAGUCCCCUGUGCUGUGCAGCAGAAUCUCAUUGCUUAUUCCCUCCCCAUGCAAUAGUUUGCAUCUGUUAACCCCAGCCUCCCUGUCCCCCCUCCCCCUCCGCCUCUCCUUGGGCAACCACAAGUCUGUUCUCCAAGUCCCUGAGUUUCUUUCCCACACACUAUGCUUUUAAAACAGUAAGUCGUAGCAUAGCACUGACUCUUAUCUGGAAUUGUGAGAUUUACUCAUCAGGUACUCGGUCUAACAAGCACCUCACUUUCUACCUCCACGUCCUGCCUCCUGCAUUUCCUUCCUUCCUUUCUUUCUUCUCCCUUCCUUCCUCUCUCUCUCUCUCUCUCUUUCGUGUCUGUUUAGUACAUUAUAAAAAUCUUGGGGAGCCAAGCGGAUCUCAUUCACACUCUCUUUUCUUGCUCCACGUCUCUGUCCCCAGUGCAUGUGUGUGUUGCAUAUGGCAGCGCGUGCGUCUGCAGAUAUUUGCACUUCACGAGAGACGCUGUUUCUUACAGCGGCUGGAAUCCAGUAGAGCCACUGUUGUGCAGUUAUUUAGUCCGCAUUCUUUCUCCUCCCCCCAAUAACCAUCGAGACCAUCAAAACAAAGCCAAACAAAACCAAAACAAAGAC